CCCAACUAUCCCUAUUAAUCAUUACGGCGGUCCUAGAAACCAACAAAAUAAGAUCGAACGUCCUAUUUCAUUAUUCCAUGCUAAUGUAUUCAAGCGUUAGCCUGCUUUAAACACUCUAAUUUUUUCAAAGUAACAGUCCAAAUUCCCCGCAACACCAAAUUAAUGGCAUUACGGUUCAUAAGGAAGGAGGAAUCAGUGAGAUCAGUACAUACCAGAGGCAUGACCAACCUACUAACCCCGAAAUUCAACUACGAGCUUUUUAACUGCAACAACUUUAAUAUACGCUAUUGGAGCUGGAAUUACCGCGGCUGCUGGCACCAGACUUGCCCCAA
rnacentral:misc_RNA from 1 species